rnacentral:miRNA from 1 species
GUUCUCACUUCUCUUUUGUUUACUUACACUCCCUUUUAUCUUAUAGUAAAAAUAUUUAAAAACAAAAGGGAGUGUAAGUGGAUAAAAGGGGAGUGGGAAA